UGGAAUGGCUUUAAACGAAAAGAGGGAAGAUUUAGGUUAGAUAUUAGGAGGCAGGAAUUUCUUACUCGAGGUAUUGAGGCACUGACACAGGAUGCCCAGGGAGGUUGUGAAUGACGCGUCUCCGGAGGCGUUCGAGGCCAGGCUGGAUGUGGCUCUCUGGGCAGCCCAAUUGAGUGGGUGGCAGCCCGGCCGGUGGUGGAGGCAUUCGAGCUCGAUGAUCUUUGAGGUCUGAGCCAUACUGUGAUCGCAAUCAGUCAACAGAGGCCAAGCCAAUUGUUUUUUUUUUUGUUUUGUUUUGUUUUUUAACAUCACAUAGAUACAACAACGUAAGCCAUUCCUAAGUUAAGACCAGAGCACUGACGUGGGUUUUGAUCAGCUUUUCUUUUGAUGACAUUCUAUUCAGCUUUGGAAAAGUAUUCGUUGCACAAGCAAUGCGUUCGUAUCUGGUGAUUUUCAAGUCCUCAGUGAGGCAAAGUGUUCCAGUUAGUUAACGGUCACAUCGCUGGACUCAUGUACGGUUUAUUAACUUUUUCGAGCUAGUAUUCUAACAAGUAAUAAAAUACAGACCAUAAACUCCCCUUGAAAUACAACAGCACAGUUGGUAGAGGACUAUAUAGGCACUAAAAUAAAUAAACAAAUAAAUAAAGCUGCACAACACAAACUUACAAAAUAAAUCACCUUCUCUAUUGUUAAGGUAAGCGUAGAUAGGGUAUGUAAUAUCACAUAGGUUGCGUCACCAAUUCACUGCAGAAACUUACCGGUUACCAUGGAAGUCAUGUUCUCUGGCUUCAUUUUGUAACAGUUUCCAGGUUAAUUGGAAGUGAAUAAUUAGUCACAGCUACUGAUUAAUUAAUUGAUUCUAAACUAGGUUAGAAGAAUUAAGGGACUGCUACCUAUUUCUUACUCUUCUUACAAGACAAGCAAAAUGACGCUUGUAAAUUCUCGGUUCCUGCAAGGAUGACACCACAAACCGUGGACAGUACUGUAGGACUGCUAAAUAG
rnacentral:lncRNA from 1 species